rnacentral:ncRNA from 1 species
UCGAGCUGUAUGCAGGGAAACUUGCACGUACAGUUCUUCGGGGGCCGUGUUUCUGAGAGGGAACGCGGCUACCCACU